AUUGAACGCUGGCGGCAGGCCUAACACAUGCAAGUCGAACGAGUGGCGGACGGGUGAGUAAUGUCUGGGAAACUGCCUGAUGGAGGGUGAUAACUAAUGGAAACGGUAGCUAAUACCGCAUACCUUCGGUAGAUCCCAGCUGGGAUUAGCUAGUUGGUGGGGUAAUGGUUCACCUGGGCGACGAUCCCUAGCUGGUCUGCGAGGAUGACCAGCCACACUGGAACUGAGACACGGUCCAGACUCCUACGGGAGGAAGCAGUGGGGAAGAUUGGACAAGGGGCGCAAGCCUGAUGCAGCCAUGCCGCGUGUAUGAAGAAGGCCUUCGGGUUGUAAAGUACUUUCAGCGGGGAGGCGUUACCCGCAGAAGAAGCACCGGCUAACUCCGUGCCAGCCGCCGCGGUAAUUC
rnacentral:rRNA from 1 species